GUUGGGCGCUAGGUGUGGGACUCAUUCCACGAGUUCCGUGCCGCAGCUAACGCAUUAAGCGCCCCGCCUGGGGAGUACGGCCGCAAGGCUAAAACUCAAAGGAAUUGACGGGGGCCCGCACAAGCGGCGGAGCAUGCGGAUUAAUUCGAUGCAACGCGAAGAACCUUACCAAGGCUUGACAUAUACCGGAAACUUCCAGAGAUGGUUGCCCCUUUGGGUCGGUAUACAGGUGGUGCAUGGCUGUCGUCAG
rnacentral:rRNA from 1 species